UCCAAUGAUGGCAUGUAUCUUUGAGACCUGAUUGUCAAUUUGAUGACAACUAUAAGCAUUUUCGCUGAGGAU